CCUGGACUGGUCAGUCCUCUCUCAGAUGCAACAAACUUGUAUGCCCCUCAGUUUGUUCAACACAGCAAACUGGUGGAGCAGGCAAAGGAAGUGUCCCUCUACCUCCAAAACAAUCAGGCUGUUGAUGUGGAUAGAGAUUGGAAGCUGGUACUUCUCUUUGCUCAGGUGGAUCAGCUCUGUGCUUGUGAGCAGCAGCAG